rnacentral:lncRNA from 1 species
UGAUGUUGCUCCUCCAGAACCCAUUGAGCCUACAUUAGAUGGCAUCAGAAUUCCACCGAGUGGGAAAAUGUUUUGAUACACAUCAGCUUGCAGAUAAAUUGAGAUGUCUGAGCUAUGAUACAUCAAGUUUAGGUUUCCCUUGAUUAUUUGAGUUAUACAAAUGUGGGUGUUGACCAUCCAGACUCUGUUGGGCCUCCUUUUGAUGGCCUCUUAUAUCUGCCGAAUGGAAUGACCUUCACCCUACCUGUAAAUCAAAUGUUGAGCUGCAGUUAAUUCACACCUACAUCAACCAAUAAAAGUGAGCAUAUGGUGCCUUUCUCUUGUUCAGCUUAUACUUCGCAUGUUUGAUUUUCCCUUUUCAGAUGUUCAGUAGAAGAAAUGUCGUAUAAAUUUUGAUGGCCUCUUUUUGUUAUAGAACUGCUCCAGUACGUCGAACUUUAUGCCUCUGAUUAUGGAUUUUGCUAAUAACGAGGGAACUAGCUUUUAGCCUACAAGCGGAAGCCAGUCAUUUUCAGGUAUAAGAUUUUUUUUCCCCAAUAAAUAACUUCCGUAGUAAGAUGUUUAGUUCUCUCUGAACUUUGUUCAGGAGUUUACAUUUCCAAUUUGUGUCUGCAAACAGAAUAUAACCUCUGUUUGAAGAGUUAUUGGUGUCAAAAGAAUUCUUUAUCAUUUUCUUGGGAACUUAAUCUAGUCAAUGUGCUAAUUCAGAUUAUUUUGCCAAUAUGCAAUACUGAUAUUCUGAUUCAUUGAUGCUAGAAUCUGUGUGAGGCUUAAGUGGGAACCUUUUCUGUGAUUUAUUCCAAAACAAUCAAUACACCUUCUUUACUAGUAAAGGACAUGGGACUCUGUACUCUACAAUUAUGUUGAUAGAGUAGUAAUUAAUAGUAUUCAAAACUGUUAGGGAGGCUCUUGAAUAUAUGACAUAAAGUUGAGAUCACUGCACAACAAUUCACUGAUAAAUUGAUGGCCAUUGAAUUAGUUAAUUAUGAUGAAAAUUUUGGGUUAGACAAUUAAUACAUUCAAUAGAGGCUAGCAUGCUGAGAAUCUCAUAUAUAAUAUCUGGAAAGUUUCUAUUCAUGUAUAAUGUCAAGAUGAGAGCGCUUAGUUUGAUGUGGUACGUGGAACAUACAGAAAUCGUUACUUUUCGUGGUACAUAGUACGGCGGGGGUAAGUUUCUUCGAAUCGCUUAGUUGGUACAAAAUACGUUUAUUCGGAAUGUGGUACACUGACAAUAGAAAAACAAUUAGUUGCUUCCAAUGAUCAUUACCUGACAAGAAAGCUUGAAAUGAAAUUGUGAUCUUGUUAACCGCAAUACAAAAACAAUUAGUUGCUUCCAAUGAUUACUACCUGACGAGAAUGCUUGAAUGAAAUUGUGAUCUUGUUAACCGCAAUACCACAUUAGUGGUUUACGAUCUUAAUACUGAUGGAUUAGUGAUCACGUGUACUGUAUGAAAUGAUUGGUGAUUAUCAUGCAAUCAAUUAUGUUAAUGCAGUAGUUUGUCUGGAUUUAUUGGCUGUUAUACCAAUAUGUAUUUUGGUUGUAGUUGAUGAAAAUUUGCUACGGUAUUCAAUGACAGAUGAUUAUCAUAUCAUGCAAUCAAAUUAUUUUAAUGCAUAAGUUGCUGAAUUUGUUGGGUACUAAUAAUAUAUGUAUUCUAAAUUGUUUUCAUAUUGAUACUAGUGUUCACCACUUCACCCAGGAGAUUAUUAAAUUCGAUAUACAAGGGGCUUCUAGAUUUCUGCUGACACUGCUAGCACAUCAAUUUGGAAGAAGCUCAAAAGUAUUUUCCUUGCAUUGUAGCGAGUAUCUGCUACAGAAUUACUAGUUACCACUGUUUUCUCGUUGUGAAGCGAGUAUCUGCUACAGAAUUGCUCAAAAGUAUUUGUUUGGCUUUAUGUUUUAGUAGGAAUCAUCUAGUAGUUUUUAAUGGCGGUGCUAGUCAAUUAUGUGAAAACCAAAAGGGUCGUUUCUGCAGUGUCUUGUUCCGACAGCUGGCAGAUGAUACCUUUGAUCCCCAGAAGCCACCAAUGGAGAAACCAUCCUCUCCUCUUAUUUUUUUGAUACAAGAAAAUUGAUGGAA